rnacentral:misc_RNA from 1 species
AGCAGCCGCGGUAAUUCCAGCUCCAAUAGCGUAUAUUAAAGUUGUUGCAGUUAAAAAGCUCGUAGUUGAAUUUCGGGAUCAAAGGAUCGGUCAUGCCUUGGUAUGUACUGGUUUUAUUGGUUCUCACCUUCUAAAGAACCAUAAUGUCAUUCAUUUGAUGUUAUGGGGAAUUAGGACUGUUACCUUGAAAAAUUAGAGUGUUUAAAGCAGGCUUACGCUUGAAUACAUUAGCAUGGAAUAAUGAAAUAGGACAUCAGAUUCUAUUUUGUUGGUUUCUAGGAUCGAUGUAAUGAUUAAUAGGGAUAGUUGGGGGCAUUAGUAUUCAAUUGUCAGAGGUGAAAUUCUUGGGUUUAUUGAAGACUAACUACUGCGAAAGCAUUUGCCAAGGAUGUUUUCAUUAAUCAAGAACGAAAGUUAGGGAUCGAAGACGAUCAGAUACCGUCGUAGUCUUAACCAUAAACUAUGCCGACUAGGGAUCGGAUGAUGUUAAUUUUAUAAUGACUCAUUCGGCUAACCG